rnacentral:rRNA from 1 species
UACAGAGACUGCAAGCGUUAUUCGGAUUCACUGGGCGUAAAGGGUGCGCAGGCGGCCAAGUGUGUGAGGCGUGAAAGCCCGGGGCUUAACUCCGGAAUUGCACCUCAAACUACAUGGCUAGAGCAUUGGAGAGGGUAGCGGAAUUCACGGUGUAGCAGUGAAAUGCGUAGAUAUCGUGAGGAACACCAGAGGCGAAGGCGGCUACCUGGACAAUUGCUGACGCUCAGGCACGAAAGCGUGGGGAGCGAACAGG